GACGAACGCUGGCGGCGUGCUUAACACAUGCAAGUCGAACGGAAAGGCCCUGCUUUUGUGGGGUGCUCGAGUGGCGAAAGGGUGAGUAACACGUGAGUAACCUGCCCUUGACUUUGGGAUAACUUCAGGAAACUGGGGCUAAUACCGGCUAGGAGCUCCUGCUGCAUGGUGGGGGUUGGAAAGUUUUGGCGGUUGGGGAUGGACUCGCGGGUUAUCAGCUUGUUGGUGGGGUAGUGGCUUACCAAGGCUUUGACGGGUAGCCGGCCUGAGUGGGUGGCCGGCCACAAUGGGACUGAGAUACGGCCCAGACUCCUACGUGGGGCAGCAGUGGGGAAUAUUGCACAAUGGGCGGAAGCCUGAUGCAGCAACGCCGCGUGCGGGAUGACGGCCUUCGGGUUGUAAACCGCUUUCGCCUGUGACGAAGCGUGAGUGACGGUAAUGGGUAAAGAAGCACCGGCUAACUACGUG
rnacentral:rRNA from 1 species